rnacentral:rRNA from 1 species
UACAGAGGCCUCGAGCGUUAGGCGGAAUCACUGGGCUUAAAGCGUGUGUAGGCGGCUUUGCAAGUCGGAUGUGAAAGCCCCGGGCUCAACCCGGGAAGUGCACUCGAUACUGCAGAGCUUGAGUGUCGGAGAGGUUGGUGGAAUUCUCGGUGUAGAGGUGAAAUUCGUAGAUAUCGAGAGGAACACCGGCGGCGAAGGCGGCCAACUGGACGAACACUGACGCUGAGACACGAAAGCGUGGGGAGCAAACAGG